rnacentral:rRNA from 1 species
CCUACGGGGUGCAGCAGUGGGGAAUAUUGGACAAUGGGCGAAAGCCUGAUCCAGCCAUGCCGCGUGUGUGAAGAAGGCCUUCGGGUUGUAAAGCACUUUCAGUGGGGAAGAAAGCCUUGGGGCUAAUACCCUCGAGGAAGGACAUCACCCACAGAAGAAGCACCGGCUAACUCCGUGCCAGCAGCCGCGGUAAUACGGAGGGUGCGAGCGUUAAUCGGAAUUACUGGGCGUAAAGCGCGCGUAGGCGGUCUGAUAAGCCGGUUGUGAAAGCCCCGGGCUCAACCUGGGAACGGCAUCCGGAACUGUCAGGCUAGAGUGCAGGAGAGGAAGGUAGAAUUCCCGGUGUAGCGGUGAAAUGCGUAGAGAUCGGGAGGAAUACCAGUGGCGAAGGCGGCCUUCUGGACUGACACUGACGCUGAGGUGCGAAAGCGUGGGUAGCAAACAGGAUUACAUACCCGUGUAGUC